GGUAGGCAGGAGCUGGGACUGAGCAACGGGAGCUCACCCUGUCGCAGGGAUUCAAACCACUGACCUUCAACUUCUGUUGAUGGAGCCUAGAAUAGCAUUAGCUUGUUUUGCUGCUGCAUCAUACUGUUGACUCAUGUUAAGCUUGUGGUCCACCAAGACCCCUAGAUCCUUUUCACAUGUACUACCAGUAACCCAGGUGUUCCCCACCCUAUAUUUGAGCAUCUGGUUCUUCCUGCCUAGGUGCAGAACCUUACAUUUGUCCCUAUUGAAAUUCAUUUUGUUAGCUUGUGCCCAGUUCUCCAAUUAUUAAGGGCAUUUUGAGUUCUGAUUCUGUUUUCUGCGGCAUUAGCUAAUGCUCCCAGUUUGGUGUCAUCUGCAGAUUUGAUGAGCAUCACCUCAAUUCCUUCAUCCAAGUCAACAACAGGUCCAGGACAAGAACCCUGUGGCACCCCACUUGUCACUUUUUUCCAUGAUGAUGAGGAAAUAGUAAUGAGUACUCUUUGGGUUCUGUCAGUCAACCAACUACAAAACCAUCUAACAUUGUUCAACCCACAUUUUACCAGCUUCCUUGCAAGGAUAUCAUGGGGGGCUAUGUCAAAAGCCUUACUGAAAUGAAGAUUACUAUGUCCAUAGCAUUUCCCUGAUCCACCAUGUUUGGAAUUCCAUAAAAAAAGAAAGAAAUCAGAUUGGUCUGGCAUCCCUUAUUAUUGAGAAACCCAUGCUGGGUCUCUUAGUAAUGACACCAUCCUUUUCUAAAUGUUCCCAGACCGACUGCAGAAUUAUCUGUUCGUGGACCUUCUGUGGUACAAAUGUCAAGUUCACCAGUUGGUAGUUGCCUUGGUCUUCCCUUUUUCCACUUUUUUGAAGAUGGGGACAACAUCUGCCCACCUCCAGUCUGUAGUGACCUCACCUGUUCUCCAAGAAUUGUCAAAGACAAUUGACAAAGGCUCCGAAAUUACAUGUGCAAGCUCCUUUAGUACCCUUGGAUGCAGCUCAUCAGGCCCUGGAGAUUUGAUUUGAUUUAAAGUAGCUAGGUGUUCCCUUACUACCUCUUUUCCUCUCUUGGGGUGCAGCUCCCUCCAUACAUCAUUCAUUCUGUUAUCAAAGACAUAGAGUUCUUCCUUUAGAGUCUGGCAGGUUGGGGAGGGGGUUCAGCUGAGCAUGGCCAUCACAAAAAGGAGAAAGUGAGUGAACACAAUGAACAAUGGCCAUUGAAAAUACUGCAUCAAUGUGCAUCGUACUGGGCAAGAGAAGAUAAGAAAAGCAGGCACCAAAAGGGCAGAAGGUACGUAAGCCACAUGAAUGUCCACAUGACAUCUCUGAAAGAUAUUCUCUCUAUAAAAGAGCAGAGCCCCGACUGAAAGCACCACCGAGUCCUCAGCUCAUCCACUGUCCUUCUGCGUUCAUCCAGAGAACCCAACCAGAACUCCACCAUGAGAGCUCUCUACUUUGCAUUGGCCAUCGUGCUGUUGGUUGUCGCUGACAUGGCUGUUGCAGGACCCUGCGGUAAGGGGCAGCGCCCCUGCCGCGACUAUGGAGGCACCUGUGGCACGCACUGCCUGAAGACCGGGCACUACUACGCCACCUGUGACUGCGGUCAUGGCACCGUCUGCUGUCUGCCUCACAGGAAAGGCUGAGCAGGAGGCAGGCCGCCUCAUGAGGAGGAGCCGGAGACCCUGUCUUCGCCACUCAGCUGUGUAGAGGGGCCCAUCAUGGAUGCUUCUCCUCAAUAAAUUGACAUGAACGUC